UACGUAGGGGGCGAGCGUUGUCCGGAUUCAUUGGGCGUAAAGAGCUCGUAGGCGGCUCAGCAAGUCGGCCGUGAAAUCCCAGGGCUCAACCCUGGGGCGCCGGUCGAAACUGCUGUGGCUAGGGUCCGGUAGAGGAGAGUGGAAUUCCCGGUGUAGCGGUGAAAUGCGCAGAUAUCGGGAGGAACACCAGUAGCGAAGGCGGCUCUCUGGGCCGGUACCGACGCUGAGGAGCGAAAGCUAGGGGAGCAAACAGGAUUAGAUACCCGGCGUA
rnacentral:rRNA from 1 species